rnacentral:rRNA from 1 species
UCGGGAGGGUGCAAGCGUAUCCGGAUUCACUGGGUUUAAAGGGUGCGUAGGCGGGUUUGGUAAGUCCGUGGUGAAAUCUCCAAGCUUAACUUGGAAACUGCCGUGGAUACUAUCAAUCUUGAAUAUCGUGGAGGUAAGCGGAAUAUGUCAUGUAGCGGUGAAAAUGCUUUAGAUAUGACAUAGAACACCAAUUUGCGUAGGCAGCUUACUCACGAUCAUUGACGCUGAGGCACGAAAGCGUGGGGAGCAAACAGGAUUAAAACCCCCGU